rnacentral:rRNA from 1 species
UACGAAGGGGGCUAGCGUUGUUCGGAUUUACUGGGCGUAAAGCGCACGUAGGCGGAUCGUUAAGUCGGGGGUGAAAUCCUGGAGCUCAACUCCAGAACUGCCUACGAUACUGGCGAUCUUGAGUCCGGAAGAGGUGAGUGGAACUCCUAGUGUAGAGGUGGAAUUCGUAGAUAUUAGGAAGAACACCAGUGGCGAAGGCGGCUCACUGGUCCGGUACUGACGCUGAGGUGCGAAAGCGUGGGGAGCAAACAGG